CGGCCGCGUCGACGAGAUUCGAAAGCGUGGGUAGCAAACAGGAUUAGAUACCCUGGUAGUCCACGCCGUAAACGAUGUCUACUAGCCGUUGGGGUCCUUGAGACUUUAGUGGCGCAGUUAACGCGAUAAGUAGACCGCCUGGGGAGUACGGCCGCAAGGUUAAAACUCAAAUGAAUUGACGGGGGCCCGCACAAGCGGUGGAGCAUGUGGUUUAAUUCGAUGCAACGCGAAGAACCUUACCUGGACU
rnacentral:rRNA from 1 species